rnacentral:rRNA from 1 species
AGAGUUUGAUCCUGGCUCAGAACGAACGCUGGCGGCGUGGAUAAGACAUGCAAGUCGGACGGGAACUUUCGUUGUAGCAAUACGAUGGAAGUUUCAGUGGCGAUCGGGUGCGUAACACGUGGGCAAUCUGCCUUAAAGUGGGGGAUAGCUCGGCGAAAGCCGAAUUAAUACCGCAUGUGGCUACUGGAGACAUCUUCGGGACGCUAAAGGUGGCGCAAGCUACCGCUUUUUGAGGAGCUCGCGGCCUAUCAGCUUGUUGGUGAGGUAACGGCUCACCAAGGCUUUGACGGGUAGCUGGUCUGAGAGGACGACCAGCCACACUGGGACUGAGACACGGCCCAGACACCUACGGGUGGCAGCAGUCGAGAAUUUUUGACAAUGGGGGAAACCCUGAUCGAGCGACGCCGCGUGGAGGAUGAAGGUCUUCGGGUUGUAAACUCCUGUCAUUUGGGAACAAGGCGCGGGUAUUAACUGUACACGCGUUGAUAGUACCAGAAGAGGAAGAGACGGCUAACUCUGUGCCAGCAGCCGCGGUAAUACAGAGGUCUCAAGCGUUGUUCGGAUUCAUUGGGCGUAAAGGGUGUGUAGGUGGCGCGCUAAGUCGGGUGUGAAAUUUCGGAGCUUAACUCCGAAACUGCAUUCGAUACUGGCGUGCUUGAGGACUGGAGAGGAGACUGGAAUUUACGGUGUAGCAGUGAAAUGCGUAGAUAUCGUAAGGAAGACCAGUGGCGAAGGCGGGUCUCUGGACAGUUCCUGACACUGAGACACGAAGGCCAGGGGAGCAAACGGGAUUAGAUACCCCAGUAGUCC